GACGUAGGCGGCGAACGUUAUCCGGAAUUAUUGGGCGUAAAGGGUGCGUAGGCGGCAUGAUAAGUUAUUGGCGGUAAAUCGAGGCUCAACCUCGUGGAAACUGAUAAUACUGUUUUGCUUGAGUACAGGAGAGGUUAACGGAACUCCAUGUGGAGCGGUAAAAUGUGUAGAUAUAUGGAAGAACAUCAAUAACGGCGAAGGCAGUUAACUAUUCUGUUACUGACGUUGAGGCACGAAAGCGUGGGGAGCAAAAAGG
rnacentral:rRNA from 1 species